UGCGUAGGCGGGUUUCUAAGUCAGAGGUGAAAGCCUGGAGCUCAACUCCAGAACUGCCUUUGAUACUGGAAGUCUUGAGUAUGGCAGAGGUGAGUGGAACUGCGAGUGUAGAGGUGAAAUUCGUAGAUAUUAGGAGGAACACCAGUGGCGAAGGCGACUUACUGGACUGUAACUGACGCUGAGGCACGAAAGCGUGGGUAGCGAACA
rnacentral:rRNA from 1 species